GAUCCUGGCUCAGAACGAACGCUGGCGGCGCGUUUAAGCAUGCAAGUCGAGCGGCAAGGGCCUUCGGGCCCCUAGAGCGGCGGACGGGUGAGUAACACGUGGACAAUCUGCCCCCCGGCCCGGGAUAGCCCGGGGAAGCCUGGAUUAAUACCGGAUGAGACGGGACCCGCGAUGGCGGGACCCGGGAAAGGCGCUGCGGCGCCGCCGGGGGAUGAGUCUGCGUCCCAUUAGCUAGACGGCGGGGUAACGGCCCACCGUGGCGACGAUGGGUAGCCGGCCUGAGAGGGUGGACGGCCACAUUGGAACUGAGACACGGUCCAGACUCCUACGGGAGGCAGCAGCUAAGAAUCUUCCGCAAUGGGCGAAAGCCUGACGGAGCCGACGCCGCGUGAACGAAGAAGGCCGUGAGGUUGUAAAGUUCUUUUCGGGAGGGGGAACAACCGUGGCAGGGAAUGGCCGCGGGAUGACGUGAAUCCCGGAAUAAGCCCCGGCUAACUACGUGCCAGCAGCCGC
rnacentral:rRNA from 1 species